rnacentral:rRNA from 1 species
AGUGAACGCUGGCGGUAGGCCUAACACAUGCAAGUCGAACGGCAGCACAGUAAGAGCUUGCUCUUACGGGUGGCGAGUGGCGGACGGGUGAGGAAUACAUCGGAAUCUACUUUUUCGUGGGGGAUAACGUAGGGAAACUUACGCUAAUACCGCAUACGACCUACGGGUGAAAGCAGAGGAUCUUCGGACCUUGCGCGAUUGAAUGAGCCGAUGUCGGAUUAGCUAGUUGGUGGGGUAAAGGCCCACCAAGGCGACGAUCCGUAGCUGGUCUGAGAGGAUGAUCAGCCACACUGGAACUGAGACACGGUCCAGACUCCUACGGGAGGCAGCAGUGGGGAAUAUUGGACAAUGGGCGCAAGCCUGAUCCAGCCAUACCGCGUGGGUGAAGAAGGCCUUCGGGUUGUAAAGCCCUUUUGUUGGGAAAGAAAAGCAGCAGGUUAAUACCCCGCUGUUCUGACGGUACCCAAAGAAUAAGCACCGGCUAACUUCGUG